rnacentral:sRNA from 1 species
AACCAACGUGAAGGAGGUGAUCCAGUGUCUUAUGAGCUUUUGGUUCUCGAGGAUCUGGGAAUGUCGGUGAUGUCUGGGAGUGAUCUUCGAUAGCAUCGCCUCCUGCAGGCCUCGAGGCCUGUAACUCAGGGAAGGGCUGCUCCGCGGGGCAGCCCU